GGGUAUCUUGCUGGAGAUCUUUGCCUGGCUGAGACCUUCUGAAGCCAACAUGCAUAUUUAGAACUCCUGGAAGACUUUGCUUCAUGAUGACAAGACUCAACUAUUUCAGGUGGUUCUUGGAAUUCAUCAAGUAACGGAAAGUAAAAGAUAAAAAGAGUCCUGGUGAACAGCAAACUGAACAUGAGCCAGUAGAAUUCCCUAGCAGCACAGAAGGAUGUGCAGACUGCGCGGGAAACUCUCUCCCUCUGCUGAGGGCUCAUUGGACCACAUCUGGAAUAUGGCAUCCAGUUCUGUGCCUCCCAUACAGAGCAUCAGUACAGUGGAGUGAACUUAGUGGAACCACCUAGAUGAUCAGGGUGCCAGACCCCUCAAACUGUGAGAAAAGGCACGAGCUAACUGGCUUUGUUCACAGGGCAGGAAAGAAGGCUUUGGGCCAAGAGCCUGCCACUACCUACAGAGGAAGCUGUCUUCUGACAUCUUAGAUGAAGUCAGGCUCUAAAUAAUGGUACAUGGUGGCAGGAUAAGAGAAAAUAAGCAUAAACUGAAACAAGGGUGGUUCACACUGACCAUGAGGAGAAAUUUUCUUACCCUGAGGACAGCCAAUUCUGUGGUCUCCAUCUCUGGAGGUUUUCAAGACCAAGGCAGAUAAAGUCCCAAGUAUUCUGGUCUCUACAGUUGACCCUGCUCUGAGGCUAGUCUAGAGAUCUUGAGGGCCUCUUGAACCUGAAUUACUACAUGAUCCAGACCCUGGACUGUGUUAAUAAUAUGCUGUAGUUUAUAAGAAAUACAGAAACACAGUACUCUAAACCAGACAAUCUACACCAGACAAUUUGCUUCCAGUGAUCAACAACAAACCUUUAACAAUACUGCUAAUAACUAAUUAAAGUAUACUGUGAUCACGUCCCUGCAAGUCACCUCAUCAGCAGCUCUUUGUCUUCAUCUGUUCCUAUUCAGCUAGGCAAUCCACAGUUGAGAGCUUUCUGAAGUUUCAUUGCUGCCUUUACUUUCGGCAUACACCUGAAAUCAUCUCCAAAAUAGACAAGAAAUCUAGCAAAGAUGGCCAAGAACCACAUGAAUAUUUCAGACAGCAGCCAGACUGCCAGCCUCUCAGAAGUGUUUCAGUGUGAGGCAAUACAGAGACUACGGUGCAAUUAAAAGAAUCCUUAUUAGAUUUUCACACUGCUGUGAUAUAUGAUCAUAAAAAAUUCUCUACUCGCACAAAUCAAUUUGUUCAGAGAGCCACCAGCUCAUCUAAGAAAGGCCACAUGUUCAAUAUUUCCUUUUAUUACCUUGUAUUUUCACUGGACAUUCCAGUCUUGUGUUACAAAAGAGAGAAAAUAAAAGCAUCCCACAUCUUCCCUCUACCUGAUUUACUAAUAACCUCUAUGGUAUCACUUAUUUCAUAGUAUUAUAGGACAAUUAAGAUUGCAAGGAACAUGAAAGUGACUGGUCUGAUCUUCUGCUCCAAGCGCCAUCGCCUUGCUGCACCUUGACCUAUCCAUUUUUGAGUGCUCUCAAGUACCUCUUCCCCAGCCACCUGCUGGUCAAGAACCUUUUCCUAACCCCCAGCCUGAUGCCUAGCAGCAGAUGGACCACAGACUUGCAUCCUAAAUGAGAAAUAUCACACCAGGACUGCAGUAAGGGGGCAAGAGAAGCUCUCUACUGAGUAGGAAAAGUCAUGAACGUCAAGUACCAGACACCAAAUCACAGCAGCUGUUUUCUACAUAAAGAUUUUUCAGGUUUCUUUGUAUACAUUGGUAUUUAUCUCUUCCAAUAAUUUACAUUAAGGAAGUCAAAGUACAUGAAGGAUAAACAGAAGCAAAUAAAGCUUUUAUUCACAAGGAUCUAUAGAGUGACCAGUUUCACUUCAGGAUUUAUUCACAAAGACUAUGCUUGUUAGACUAAUAUGUGAUACCUAAGUUAUUAAUCUGUAUUUACCAGGUUGUCCUCCUCAGUCUUCAGCUGGGAGAAAAAAAGACAAAGAUCUGUACAAAAUCCCUGCCAGACUUGAGGAAUUUUUUUCCCCUCCAGCCACUCUUACAUUUCCUUCCUGCCACAUAUUUUGAAAGCUAAAACACAGCGUUGGAUUUUUUUUGCUCUUUUCAGCCAAGUUGGAUUUGGCAGAUCAUGAAUCAUCAACUAACAGUGAAACUCAUACCUUAAAAAAAAAAAAAAGAGGAAGUAAAAAUGUGUAAAUCAAGUCUCCUCUUCUCUUUGCUUCAAUGACUGUUUUCACUCUUAUCUGCUACAAAAGCUCAGUUUGUACUUAUGCAGGUGACAGUAGCCUGAGGAACACAGAAUCAUAACAUUUAUGCUGCAGAUUAAAGGUAAUGGAAGCAAAUCUAAAGAAAUUGUAGAUUUAAGGUGCUAACCCAAAUAUUGCUAUGCCAAAACUGAUCUCCAGGAAGCAAUCCUUGGUAAUUAAAUCUAAACAAGUCCAAGAAGGAAAAAAAAUUCUAUCCUGUUUCAUGUUAAAGAAAACUCCCAGCAUGUAAACCUUGGGAUUUUGUCAUGCGCUGCAGCAAGAAAAGCAGCUCCUACUUGAAUGCAUUAGCAGUCCUAUACAUAUACAGUGUUAUAGAUAUUCUAAGGAAUUAGUCCCAGAGAAACUCAAACCCAUCAGAAUUGAGAUUUGUGUGACUCUCGCUGAAGUAUUUUUUUGCUAAUUGCAGUUUAUUUAAAAGGAUGCCUCCAACCAAGCUGCAAUCACUGAAACGUUACAAUAAAUCAGAAGACAGCAAAUCUACUGCAGUGAAUGCUUUCUAAGCAAGUAAUCUGCUGCAAUGGAACAGCUCUCCCAACUGCUACAGCAGACUAAAUAAAAC